rnacentral:rRNA from 1 species
CAGCAGCCACGGGAAUACGAAGGGUGCAAGCGUUAAUCGGAAUUACUGGGCGUAAAGCGUGCGUAGGCGGUUUGUUAAGUCUGCUGUGAAAUCCCCGGGCUCAACCUGGGAAUGGCAGUGGAUACUGGCAAGCUAGAGUGUGUCAGAGGAUGGUGGAAUUCCCGGUGUAGCGGUGAAAUGCGUAGAGAUCGGGAGGAACAUCAGUGGCGAAGGCGGCCAUCUGGGACAACACUGACGCUGAGGCACGAAAGCGUGGGGAGCAAACAGGAUUAGAUACCCCGGUAGUCCCUGUCUCUUAUAU